GGGUUGUGAGGUUAAGCGACUAAGCGUACACGGUGGAUGCCCUGGCAGUCAGAGGCGAUGAAGGGCGUGCUAAUCUGCGAUAAGCGCCGGUAAGGUGAUAUGAACCGUUAUAACCGGCGAUACCCGAAUGGGGAAACCCAGUGUGAUUCGUCACACUAUCAUUAACUGAAUCCAUAGGUUAAUGAGGCGAACCGGGGGAACUGAAACAUCUAAGUACCCCGAGGAAAAGAAAUCAACCGAGAUUCCCCCAGUAGCGGCGAGCGAACGGGGAGGAGCCCAGAGCCUGAAUCAGCAUGUGUGUUAGUGGAAGCGUCUGGAAAGGCGCGCGAUACAGGGUGACAGCCCCGUACACAAAAGCGCAUAUGCUGUGAGCUCGAUGAGUAGGGCGGGACACGUGGUAUCCUGUCUGAAUAUGGGGGGACCAUCCUCCAAGGCUAAAUACUCCUGACUGACCGAUAGUGAACCAGUACCGUGAGGGAAAGGCGAAAAGAACCCCGGCGAGGGGAGUGAAAAAGAACCUGAAACCGUGUACGUACAAGCAGUGGGAGCCCCACCACUAAGCCAGUGGUGAACUCCACAUACGCAUCCUUUGCUGAGGAGACGGUUAACGGAGCGAAAGCGACGUUCAACCUCAAAAGAAGCAGAGGGGGCUUAGUGGUGGGGUGACUGCGUACCUUUUGUAUAAUGGGUCAGCGACUUAUAUUCUGUAGCAAGGUUAACUGUAUAGGGGAGCCGGAGGGAAACCGAGUCUUAACCGGGCGUUAAGUUGCAGGGUAUAGACCCGAAACCCGGUGAUCUAGCCAUGGGCAGGUUGAAGGUUGGGUAACACUAACUGGAGGACCGAACCGACUAAUGUUGAAAAAUUAGCGGAUGACCUGUGGCUGGGGGUGAAAGGCCAAUCAAACCGGGAGAUAGCUGGUUCUCCCCGAAAGCUAUUUAGGUAGCGCCUCGUGAAUUCAUCUCCGGGGGUAGAGCACUGUUUCGGCUAGGGGGCCAUCCCGGCUUACCAACCCGAUGCAAACUGCGAAUACCGGAGAAUGUUAUCACGGGAGACACACGGCGGGUGCUAAUGUCCGUCGUGAAGAGGGAAACA
rnacentral:rRNA from 1 species